UGACACGUUUAGGUUUUCCACAAAAUGAGUUUAGUCUUCCAUUCGGUGUGCUAUUUAAUACGUGUAGUCUUCCAUUCGGUGUGCUAUUUAAUACGUUAAGUCUUCCAUUCUGUGUGCUAUUUAAUACAUUUAGUCUUCCAUUCGGUGUGCUAUUUAAUACAUUUAGUCUCCCAUUCGGUGUGCUAUUUCACCACAGCGGCAGCUGCAACAGCAACAGCUGGCCUGAUGCAACAGCAUGGGCUAGCUUCGCUUCCCUGAUAGGACGGAACUCUGGAAUAACCCAGAUCAGGUCCAGAAACAGAUUAUUAGAUCAGGUCAUCUAUCACUGAUCCACCAGAUCAGUGGCCUUUCCCAGUUCCGUCCCCAUCUGGCAGUCAUGUCCUGCCGAUCUAAAGUAUGAUCUUCAUCAUGGAACUUGUAUUUAUCCAUUUGCUUCGGUCCAAAGGGACAGUGCAGUGUAGGUAAACAUUUUCAUCGGUAGCCUAGGUGUUAGCUUCAGUAUGUGCUAGGUGUUAACAUCAGUAUGUGCUAGGUGUUAGCUUCAGUAUGUGCUAGGUGUUAACAUUAGUAUGUGGUAGGUGUUAGCUUCAGUAUGUGCUAGGUGUUAGCUUCAGUAUGUGCUAGGUGUUAGCAUCAGUAUGUGCUAGGUGUUAACAUCAGUAGAUGCUAGGUGUUAGCAUCAGUAUGUGAUAUGUGUUAGCAUUAGUAUGUGCUAGGUGUUGUUAGGCCUCUUGCUCUGCUGAGCUAGAGAAGAGCAUGAACUAGCUACCUAGCUUGCCUCCACGCCUAGCCAGCUUCCAAUGUUUGUGCCUUGAUCGACUGUUGGCGGGUAUUGUGCCUUGAUCGACUGUUGGCGG
ensembl:lncRNA